rnacentral:rRNA from 1 species
CCUACGGGAGGCAGCAGUGAGGAAUAUUGGUCAAUGGGCGCGAGACUGAACCAGCCAAGUAGCGUGAAGGAUGACUGUCCUAAGGGUUGUAAACUUCUUUUAUCAAGGAAUAAAGUGAGGCACGUGUGCCUUUUUGUAUGUACUUUAUGAAUAAGGAUCGGCUAACUCCGUGCCAGCAGCCGCGGUAAUACGGAGGAUCCGAGCGUUAUCCGGAUUUAUUGGGUUUAAAGGGUGCGUAGAUGGGUUGUUAAGUCAGGUGUGAAAGUUUGCGGCUCAACCGUAAAAUUGCAAUUGAUACUGGCAGUCUGGAGUACAGUAGAGGUAUGCGGAAUUCGUGGUGUAGCGGUGAAAUGCAUAGAUAGCACGAAGAACUCCGAUUGCGAAGGCAGCUUGCUAAACUGCCACUGACAUUGAGGCUCGAAAGUGUGGGUAUCAAACAGGAUUAGAUACCCGAGUAGUC